rnacentral:rRNA from 1 species
ACACUCCUGCGGGAGGCAGCAGUGGGGAAUUUUGGACAAUGGGCGAAAGCCUGAUCCAGCAAUGCCGCGUGAGUGAAGAAGGCCUUCGGGUUGUAAAGCUCUUUUGUCAGGGAAGAAACGGUGAGAGCUAAUAUCUUUUGCUAAUGACGGUACCUGAAGAAUAAGCACCGGCUAACUACGUGCCAGCAGCCGCGGUAAUACGUAGGGUGCAAGCGUUAAUCGGAAUUACUGGGCGUAAAGCGUGCGCAGGCGGUUUUGUAAGUCUGAUGUGAAAUCCCCGGGCUCAACCUGGGAAUUGCAUUGGAGACUGCAAGGCUAGAAUCUGGCAGAGGGGGGUAGAAUUCCACGUGUAGCAGUGAAAUGCGUAGAUAUGUGGAGGAACACCGAUGGCGAAGGCAGCCCCCUGGGUCAAGAUUGACGCUCAUGCACGAAAGCGUGGGGAGCAAACAGGAUUAGAAACCCUUGUAGUCCCA